rfam:Naegleria gruberi genomic scaffold NAEGRscaffold_29, whole genome shotgun sequence.
GCCCGUCUAGCUCAGUCGGUAGAGCGCAAGGCUCUUAACCUUGUGGUCGUGGGUUCGACCCCCACGGUGGGCG